rnacentral:lncRNA from 1 species
AGGUGAGAAGCAGCUGUGGAGAGCUGAUGCACAAGCCCACAGUAGGGUGAGCAAGCCUGGAGUAGGGUGACAACAUGGAGGAGGGAGCGCCUGGCUCUGCCAGGAAUCGGCCAAGGCUCAACAGUGUUUAUGCCUUAAGACAAGAAAACAGCACGGAGUUGAGAGCUUAAGCUCUGGAACUGGGCAAGUUCUCUCAAAGCCUCAUCGGGCUACUCUAAGAAUUAAAUUAAAACACUAACAAGCACAGAAUAAGCUAGUUCCUGAUAUAGUAAGAGCUUAUUAUGUGCCAGGAACUGUUAGACCCACGUAUUGAGGGACUGAAGUUUCAGCAGCACAUGAGUGACCUUCGAAAUGGAUCCUCCAUCACCUUCAGAUGACUGCAGCCCUGGAUCACAACUUCACCACAACCUUGAGAGUGACCCUCACCUUGAACCUCCCAGCCAAGCUGUUCUCAGACUGUCCUCUGGUGGAGCUUUUGUGCUGCAUUGAAACAUGGAGGAGAAGGUCAAAGGGGAAGCAAGCAUGAAGAGGGACCAGACCAGAGGGGCAUCCUGGAUUUAUAGAAACCUACUCUUGGGGGAACUAAUCCAUUCCUGUGAGAACUAAACCAGUCUCACCAGAGCAAGAAAUCACUCACUGCCACAAGGACAGCACCAAGAUAUUCAGGAAGGACCUGUCCCCAUGACCCAAACACCUCCCACCACACCCUACUUCUCAACACAGACACACGGGGGAAUCAAAUUUCAACAUGAGAUUUGGUGAAGACAAACAAACCAUAUCCUAACCAUAGCACUUCCCAAGAAUGGCAUAAGAUUUAACUGAGGUAAUGUUACUGAAAUGCCAGGGGUUCACUCUAGGUCCUUCUGCUUGCCACACAGAAAGCCAAUCACUGAGACAAUGAGUAUGACUAGGGAAGAAGUCUUUAAUUAGGUGCUGCAGCCAAGGCAAUGGGUGAUUGGUCUCAAAUCUAUCUCCCUGACUAACUAAAAUUAGAAGUUUAUAUAGCAGGGAAGAACUAUAACCACGUAUGGGAAAACAAGAAUUAGUGAGGGGUAAGGAAGAGGAGUUGGUCAACAGGAAGCAGGUGGCUGGCUAGGCACUCAUGACAGGUGAGGGGUCUGGUGUUUCACUGUCCAGAUGCAGUGAUCUGGUAAGUUUCAGUUCCUUGAUACUAUCUGGGAGGGCUGAUGUUUGGUUUUCUGAGAAAGGAACUCAGAUAAAAUAAAUGUUUAGUGCUUCAGUGGAAGUUUAUAUAUAUGUAACUUUCCCAAGUUUCAAGACUGGGAGGAUGAAUUUCUAUGUUUAUUCAAAAGAAACCAUAAACAUCAGUUCUAGGGACAAUUGGGCUGGCUUCAGUCAUGCACAUUUAGCCCUUUCCUGUACCCUACAUCCCCUCUAUUUGAAAGCAGUGGUCCUACACUCAAACAGUCUUCAGGUCCUCACCUCCAACCAUGACCUCCCUCUUGUAUGUCUUGUCUUUCUAAGGGAUCCCCAGUCACCCACCCAAAAAGCUAGUGGCUGUCCAAGGCUCCUCCUUUGCCUUCAUCCUCCCGGCUCUGAACAACUCCUGGCCACUGAUUCCUGUCUGAGUUAGGAGUUAGAUGCAUCUGCUCUGAGCUCCCCUGAUCUACACGUACUUCACAAUGUGCACUUUACCCACACUGGUGAAUGCUCAGUAGACUCAGAUUGUCUUGCAGGAAGGACUUAGGGUUUUUAUCUCUGAAUAAUGAUAUUUGUGGAACUAAAGUGAAAUAAAAGAAUAAUAGCUCAA